UGGGGAAUAUUGGACAAUGGGGGCAACCCUGAUCCAGCAAUGCCGCGUGAGUGAAGAAGGCCUUAGGGUUGUAAAACUCUUUCAGCAGUGAAGAUAAUGACAUUAACUGAAGAAGAAGCUCCGGCUAACUCCGUGCCAGCAGCCGCGGUAAUACGGAGGGGGCUAGCGUUGUUCGGAAUUACUGGGCGUAAAGCGCGCGUAGGCGGAUCAAAAAGUUAGAUGUGAAAUCCCUAGGCUCAACUUAGGAACUGCAUUUAAAACUAGUGAUCUGGAAUUUGGUAGAGGAUAGUAGAAUUUCCAGUGUAGAGGUGAAAUUCGUAGAUAUUGGAAAGAAUACCAGUGGCGAAGGCGACUAUCUGGACCAACAUUGACGCUGAGGUGCGAAAGCGUGGGUAGCAAACAGG
rnacentral:rRNA from 1 species